rnacentral:rRNA from 1 species
GGGUUGUGAGGUUAAGCGACUAAGCGUACACGGUGGAUGCCCUGGCAGUCAGAGGCGAUGAAGGACGUGCUAAUCUGCGAAAAGCGUCGGUAAGGUGAUAUGAACCGUUACAGCCGGCGAUGUCCGAAUGGGGAAACCCAGUGCAAUUCGUUGCACUAUCGUUUGAUGAAUACAUAGUCAAACGAGGCGAACCGGGGGAACUGAAACAUCUAAGUACCCCGAGGAAAAGAAAUCAACCGAGAUUCCCCAGUAGCGGCGAGCGAACGGGGAGCAGCCCGGAGUCUGAAUCAGCUUGUGUGUUAGUGGAAGCGUCUGGAAAGUCGCAGGGUACAGGGUGAUACUCCCGUACACUAAAACACACAGGCUGUGAACUCGAAGAGUAGGGCGGGACACGUGGUAUCCUGUCUGAAUAUGGGGGACCAUCCUCCAAGGCUAAAUACUCCUGACUGACCGAUAGUGAACCAGUACCGUGAGGGAAAGGCGAAAAGAACCCCGGCGAGGGGAGUGAAAAAGAACCUGAAACCGUGUACGUACAAGCAGUAGGAGCCCACUUGUUGGGUGACUGCGUACCUUUUGUAUAAUGGGUCAGCGACUUAUAUUCUGUAGCAAGGUUAACCGUAUAGGGGAGCCGCAGGGAAACCGAGUCUUAACUGGGCGUUAAGUUGCAGGGUAUAGACCCGAAACCCGGUGAUCUAGCCAUGGGCAGGUUGAAGGUUGGGUAACACUAACUGGAGGACCGAACCGACUAAUGUUGAAAAAUUAGCGGAUGACUUGUGGCUGGGGGUGAAAGGCCAAUCAAACCGGGAGAUAGCUGGUUCUCCCCGAAAGCUAUUUAGGUAGCGCCUCGUGAACUCAUCUUCGGGGGUAGAGCACUGUUUCGGCUAGGGGGUCAUCCCGACUUACCAACCCGAUGCAAACUACGAAUACCGAAGAAUGUUAUCACGGGAGACACACGGCGGGUGCUAACGUCCGUCGUGAAGAGGGAAACAACCCAGACCGCCAGCUAAGGUCCCAAAGUCAUGGUUAAGUGGGAAACGAUGUGGGAAGGCCCAGACAGCCAGGAUGUUGGCUUAGAAGCAGCCAUCAUUUAAAGAAAGCGUAAUAGCUCACUGGUCGAGUCGGCCUGCGCGGAAGAUGUAACGGGGCUAAACCAUGCACCGAAGCUGCGGCAGCGACACUAUGUGUUGUUGGGUAGGGGAGCGUUCUGUAAGCCGUUGAAGGUGGCCUGUGAGGGUUGCUGGAGGUAUCAGAAGUGCGAAUGCUGACAUAAGUAACGAUAAUGCGGGUGAAAAACCCGCACGCCGGAAGACCAAGGGUUCCUGUCCAACGUUAAUCGGGGCAGGGUGAGUCGACCCCUAAGGCGAGGCCGAAAGGCGUAGUCGAUGGGAAACAGGUUAAUAUUCCUGUACUUGGUGUUACUGCGAAGGGGGACGGAGAAGGCUAUGUUGGCCGGGCGACGGUUGUCCCGGUUUAAGCGUGUAGGUGUGUGUUCCAGGUAAAUCCGGUUCACUUUAACACUGAGGCGUGAUGACGAGGCACUACGGUGCUGAAGUGACAAAUGCCCUGCUUCCAGGAAAAGCCUCUAAGCAUCAGGUAACAUCAAAUCGUACCCCAAACCGACACAGGUGGUCAGGUAGAGAAUACCAAGGCGCUUGAGAGAACUCGGGUGAAGGAACUAGGCAAAAUGGUGCCGUAACUUCGGGAGAAGGCACGCUGAUAUGUAGGUGAAGUGAUUUACUCAUGGAGCUGAAAUCAGUCGAAGAUACCAGCUGGCUGCAACUGUUUAUUAAAAACACAGCACUGUGCAAACACGAAAGUGGACGUAUACGGUGUGACGCCUGCCCGGUGCCGGAAGGUUAAUUGAUGGGGUUAUCCGUAAGGAGAAGCUCUUGAUCGAAGCCCCGGUAAACGGCGGCCGUAACUAUAACGGUCCUAAGGUAGCGAAAUUCCUUGUCGGGUAAGUUCCGACCUGCACGAAUGGCGUAAUGAUGGCCAGGCUGUCUCCACCCGAGACUCAGUGAAAUUGAACUCGCUGUGAAGAUGCAGUGUACCCGCGGCAAGACGGAAAGACCCCGUGAACCUUUACUAUAGCUUGACACUGAACACUGGUCCUUGAUGUGUAGGAUAGGUGGGAGGCUUUGAAGCGUGGACGCCAGUCUGCGUGGAGCCAUCCUUGAAAUACCACCCUUUAAUGGCUGGUGUUCUAACGUGGGCCCGUAAUCCGGGUUGCGGACAGUGUCUGGUGGGUAGUUUGACUGGGGCGGUCUCCUCCUAAAGAGUAACGGAGGAGCACGAAGGUCAGCUAAUCCUGGUCGGACAUCAGGAGGUUAGUGCAAUGGCAUAAGCUGGCUUGACUGCGAGCGUGACGGCGCGAGCAGGUGCGAAAGCAGGUCAUAGUGAUCCGGUGGUUCUGAAUGGAAGGGCCAUCGCUCAACGGAUAAAAGGUACUCCGGGGAUAACAGGCUGAUACCGCCCAAGAGUUCAUAUCGACGGCGGUGUUUGGCACCUCGAUGUCGGCUCAUCACAUCCUGGGGCUGAAGUAGGUCCCAAGGGUAUGGCUGUUCGCCAUUUAAAGUGGUACGCGAGCUGGGUUUAGAACGUCGUGAGACAGUUCGGUCCCUAUCUGCCGUGGGCGCUGGAGAAUUGAGGGGGCUGCUCCUAGUACGAGAGGACCGGAGUGGACGCAUCACUGGUGUUCGGGUUGUCAUGCCAAUGGCAUUGCCCGGUAGCUAAAUGCGGAAGAGAUAAGUGCUGAAAGCAUCUAAGUACGAAACUUGCCCCGAGAUGAGUUCUCCCUGACUCCUUGAGAGUCCUGAAGGAACGUUGAAGACGACGACGUUGAUAGGCCGGGUGUGUAAGCGCAGCGAUGCGUUGAGCUAACCGGUACUAAUGAACCGUGAGGCUUAACCUUACAACGCCGAAG